rnacentral:rRNA from 1 species
UACGUAGGGGGCUAGCGUUGUCCGGAUUUAUUGGGCGUAAAGAGCGUGUAGGCGGCCAGGUAGGUCCGGUGUGAAAACUCGAGGCUUAACCUCGAGAUGUCAUCGGAAACCAUCUGGCUAGAGUCCGGAAGAGGAAAGUGGAAUUCCUGGUGUAGUGGUGAAAUGCGUAGAUAUCGGGAGGAACACCAGUGGCGAAGGCGACUUCCUGGCCUGUUCUUGACGCUGAGGCGCGAAAGCUAGGGUAGCAAACGGG